rnacentral:lncRNA from 1 species
CUUCAUUUGUCUGUUUUACUAGAUUUCUUCUUCCAGGUCAUCAAUAUUUCAUAUCUUUGUUUAGUGCCUUUAAAGAAUAAAUAUCAGCAUUACUUUUUAAAUGGUUUUAUUUUAUGUACAAAUAAUGAACAUACGUUGUACCCAUAAAUUCUACUUUCCGAGGAAACAUCUUGUUAGCUAUAAAACAUGAAUGCACUCAAAGAAUGAGGAGAAUUGUCAAAAUGACAUGACAGUCUGCCUGAAGGAACUCCCACAGGCCAAAUAUGGGCCACUUAGAACUUCAAAAUAAAUAAUGACAAUAAAGAAUUAUAACCCAAUGUAUACCAUAAGAAUCCAUGAAUAUUUCUCUAAUUUUUAUCUGACAAAAGUCUCUACUGCUGUUAAAUUUUCCUUCCACUUUAAACCAAUCCAAUGCUUUUCAAAUUUUACUAUUUGAAUAAGUGUUAUUUCCUAAGGCCGGGCCGGUGCCAGGCAUGGUGGCUCACGCCUGUAAUCCCAGCACUUUGAAAGCAAGUAAAACUGGUGAUAUAACAGAUUCGUUUUCGACUUACUCACAGAUCUGCUAGCAAGAUUCUUUACUACUUUAACUCUCCACCUUCAUCCUAAUACAAGAACAAUUAAAAUUUGGUACUCUACCUUGAGAAGCUUAGUCUAGCAAUGUGAUAAUCUCACUUUGCAAUCAAGAAAGAUCAAGAUCUGACUAGGAUAUAAACAAUGGGAUAAAGUUAUAAUCAUGUAUAAUGUAAUAUGUAAACACAUAUGAGGAAGUGGUUAAAUCUAUGGUGGGGUAAGAGGUGGAUGGCUUAUGUGUCAGGCAAAGCUUUAUGGUUUCAAGUUUCUCUUUUAAUUUAGUCCCCUAAAUGCUAACAUGCUAACAAAUGAUCCCCCAUACCUUGGACUCAAAGUUCU